rnacentral:rRNA from 1 species
CCUACGGGAGGCAGCAGUAGGGAAUCUUUCACAAUGGGCGAAAGCCUGAUGGAGCAACGCCGCGUGCAGGAUGAAGGCCUUCGGGUUGUAAACUGCUUUUAUAAGCGAGAAAUAUGAUGGUAACUUAUGAAUAAGGAUCGGCUAACUACGUGCCAGCAGCCGCGGUCAUACGUAGGAUCCGAGCAUUAUCCGGAGUGACUGGGUGUAAAGAGUUGCGUAGGUGGCAUAAUAAGUAGCUAGUGAAAGCUGGUGGCUCAACCAUUCAGACUAUUAGCUAAACUGUUAAGCUCGAGACCGUUAGGGGUAACUGGAAUUUCUAGUGUAGGAGUGAAAUCCGUAGAUAUUAGAAGGAACACCAAUAGCGUAGGCAGGUUGCUGGGACGGUUCUGACACUAAGGCACGAAAGCGUAGGGAGCAAACGGGAUUAGAUACCCCAGUAGUC